UACAGAGGUCCCAAGCGUUGUUCGGAUUCACUGGGCGUAAAGGGUGCGUAGGUGGCUUGGUAAGUUUGACGUGAAAUCUCCGGGCUUAACCCGGAAAAUGCGUUGAAUACUAUUUGAGCUGGAGGUUUGGAGGGGGGACUGGAAUUCUUGGUGUAGCAGUGAAAUGCGUAGAUAUCAAGAGGAACACCAGUGGCGAAGGCGAGUCCCUGGACAACACCUGACACUGAGGCACGAAAGCUAGGGGAGCAAACAGG
rnacentral:rRNA from 1 species